UGGGGAAUUUUGCGCAAUGGCCGAAAGGCUGACGCAGCGACGCCGCGUGUGGGAUGAAGCCUUUCGGGGUGUAAACCACUGUCAGGGGGGAAGAACUUCAUCGAUGUGAAUAGCAUCGGUGGUUGACGUUACCCUCAAAGGAAGCGCCGGCUAACUCCGUGCCAGCAGCCGCGGUAAUACGGGGGGCGCAAGCGUUGUUCGGAAUUACUGGGCGUAAAGGGCAGGUAGGUGGUUUUUUAAGUCGUCUGUGAAAAUCCGGGGCUCAACCCCGAGAAAUGCAGGCGAAACUGGCAGACUAGAGACCGGUAGAGGCUAGUGGAAUUCCUGGUGUAGCGGUGGAAUGCGUAGAUAUCAGGAAGAACACCGGUGGCGAAGGCGGCUAGCUGGGCCGGAUCUGACACUGAACUGCGAAAGCGUGGGGAGCAAACAGG
rnacentral:rRNA from 1 species